AUUCGGUCUCUUGAAAAAUGACCCAACCUACCAACCGCACCCAACCCACCGUCCACCUCCGGCCAGACGCGUGCCACCGCCUGCCCUGCGCGCCGCCGGACAGACGCAUGCCGCUGCCCUCGACCCGCGCGCCGCCGCCCCUUACCUGCGCUCCGCCCUCGACCCGAGCGCUGCCGCCCGUCGUCGCCCCUGACCUGCGCUCCGCCGCCCCUGACCGAGCUUCGCGCCGGGCUGGACCUGCUCGACUGCUCCCGGCGCAGCCACGACCCUGUGCGCCUGACGGAAGCACCAGCUUUCUUCCCGCAUUCGGUGUUAAAAAUCUCCUGUUGGGAAGAUCCUCAUGGUGCGCAGCACGGACAAGGGGAUUUGGAGAGGCUGGCCUCCUGGUCCUGUAGAGAUCAGGGGCGAGCCAGGGGAGAGGAGACAUGCCCUAGUGCCGCCACAUCUCCAUGAUCUCCAUCCCUGGUCGCCAGCAGCUGCAAGCGCGGCCACCACACCACCCUGCCGCCAGCACGCCACCCUCACGGUCAACUGCAUCUCAGACCCCGGGCAACGGCAGCCGCAGCACCUCGCCCCCGCCAGGUCGCCACGCCUCACCACCAGGUUACAUCUGAAUCGGAUGAUGAGCUGCACCAGUAUGUAGAUGAGGAUUAGUUGAACAGGCGUGAAGAACUUGCAUUUGCACAUACAGAAGCAGAUGAGGCAAUAACUGACGGAGUCACGUUGACAAUCAGUGUUGCUAUUUUCUACUGCCACCGUUAGGUAUUGUGUUGGUGCAACACUUUGCAACUUAGCUCUGCCAAUAUAGAGGGAAUGACCAGGGAAAUACUUCUCUAGUUUUUGCGCUGCAAAUUGUAAAGUGAAAUGACUGAAAUUAUCAUCGUGUUGUGCUGCAAAAUUUAUAUACCUUCCAUUUCUAGA